ensembl:lncRNA
CCUGGGCCUCUCGCUGGAAUCUCCCUAGAAGAUGCUCGAGGCUUCUGGUGCCGAGUGUGCUGCGGGCUGCUCGGGAGGAUGCACAGCGCCUCCGCCUCCCGCGCGUGUUCCGGCCGGGAGACAGCAUGUACUGGGAUCCCUGAGCUGCUGCCCGGCCGCGCCUGGCCCGGGGCCCUGAAUGCCGGCCAAGCCCCAGCGGACAGCAGCAGGGUGGGGAGGGAGCCCGAUCGUCCCCAUAAAUCUCAGCCACAGCCCAGCAGACGGCCCGGGCGUUUGCGGGCAGGGGAGGAAGGAGGAGUGCCGGGGCGGAAGUGGAAUUCGCAGAUUCGCAGAUUUGUUUCAGGCAGCCAAAGAAAAAGUGAUUUCAGAUGCUCCGCACUAGGAGCGGAGGCGCUUGCCAGCGGCGGAGGGGGAUGUGUCCUGAUAAACCCACUGUGUCCUGGACCUAUUGCAAGCCAAAAAACACAUCCUAGCCAGGGGAGGUGGCCCGCAGUUCCAGCACUCGGAGGGUGAGGCAGGAGGAUCACUGAGUGUUUGAGACACUGUCUCCAAAAGAAAAGCUGAGGACUACAAUUCAUUAUGAGAAUGAGGUGUCCUGAGGUGACUCUGGGGAGGGGGCAGGCUGUGUCUCGUGCCUAGCACACCUGGCAUUUCCCGGGCACUGACCUCACGGGGUGGUCGAGCUCUUUAGAAGUUUCUUUGUAAUUACGUUUAUCCAGCAGCAGGG